rnacentral:rRNA from 1 species
UUGGACAAUGGAGGCAACUCUGAUCCAGCCAUGCCGCGUGAAGGAAUAAGGCCCUAUGGGUUGUAAGCUUCUUUUAGACGGGACAAAACCCCUUUACGUGUAAAGGGUUGAUGGUACUGUCAGAAUAAGCAUCGGCUAACUUCGUGCCAGCAGCCGCGGUAAUACGAAGGAUGCAAGCGUUAUCCGGAAUUAUUGGGUUUAAAGGGUGCGUAGGCGGACUAAUAAGUCAGUGGUGAAAGCCUGCAGCUUAACUGCAGAAUUGCCAUUGAUACUGUUAGUCUUGAGUACAGUUAAGGUAGGCGGAAUGUGUCAUGUAGCGGUGAAAUGCUUAGAUAUGACACAGAACACCGAUUGCGAAGGCAGCUUGCUAAGCUGUAACUGACGCUGAGGCACGAAAGCGUGGGGAGCAAACA